rnacentral:piRNA from 1 species
UAAACCCAAGCACUGCCUUGACAGCAGCC